rnacentral:rRNA from 1 species
CCAGGUUAAUCCGAGUGUCUCCUGCUAAAGGAGUCUUUUGUCAGUUGUAGAAUCACUGGUGAAUAAGGGCUGGCCAAGUUCUGGUGUCAGCCGCCGCGGUAAAACCAGCACCUCGAGUGGUCAGGAGGUUUAUUGGGCCCAAAGCAUCCGUAGCCGGUUGCAUAAGUUUUCGGUUAAAUCUAUGCGCUUAACGUAUAGGCCGCCGAAAAUACUGUGCAGCUAGGGAGUGGGAGAGGUACACGGUACUUGAUAGGAAGGGGUAAUAUCCUUUGAUCUAUUGAAGACCACCUGUGGCGAAUGGCGGUGUACCAGAACACGUUCGACGGUGAGGGAUGAAAGCUCGGGGGAGCAAACCGGAUUAGAUACGCGGUUAGUCCCAGCGUAAACGAGCAAUCGAUGAGCAUUGGCUGCGCCAAUGCAUCGCAGGGAACCGUUAGUUUGCCGCCUGGGAGUACGUACGCAAUAGAAUAAGGAUGGCGGGGGAGCACCACAG